rnacentral:rRNA from 1 species
CCUACGGGAUGCAGCAGUGGGGAAUAUUGGACAAUGGGCGAAAGCCUGAUCCAGCCAUGCCGCGUGAGUGAAGAAGGCCUUAGGGUUGUAAAGCUCUUUCACCGGUGAAGAUAAUGACGGUAACCGGAGAGGAAGCCCCGGCUAACUUCGUGCCAGCAGCCGCGGUAAUACGAAGGGGGCUAGCGUUGUUCGGAAUUACUGGGCGUAAAGCGCGCGUAGGCGGAUAGAUAAGUCAGAGGUGAAAUCCCGGGGCUCAACCCCGGAAUUGCCUUUGAUACUGUUUAUCUUGAGUGCAGAAGAGGUAAGUGGAAUUCCGAGUGUAGAGGUGAAAUUCGUAGAUAUUCGGAGGAACACCAGUGGCGAAGGCGGCUUACUGGUCUGCAACUGACGCUGAGGCGCGAAAGCUAGGGGAGCGAAUGGGAUUAGAUACCCCCGUAGUC